AUUGAACGCUAGCGGGAUGCUUUACACAUGCAAGUCGAACGAGUGGCGGACGGGUGAGUAAUAUAUCGGAACCUGCCCAGUAGCGGGGGAUAACUACUUGAAAGAGUGGCUAAUACCGCAUACCAUCGGAGCGGCCCAUAUCGGAUUAGCGAGUUGGUGGGGUAAAGGCUCACCAAGGCAACGAUCCCUAGCUGGUUUGAGAGGACGACCAGCCACACUGGGACUGAGACACGGCCCAGACUCCUACGAGAGGCAGCAGUGGGGAAUUUUGGACAAUGGGGGAAACCCUGAUCCAGCCAUCCCGCGUGUAUGAGAAGGCCUUCGGGUUGUAAAGUACUUUUAGCGAGGAAGCGUUAUCUGCAGAAUAAGCACCGGCUAACUCCGUGCCAGCAGCCGCGGUAAUUC
rnacentral:rRNA from 1 species